rnacentral:rRNA from 1 species
GAUGAACGCUGGCGGCGUGCUUAACACAUGCAAGUCGAACGAAGCACUUUAACCUGAUUCUUCGGAUGAAGGUUUUUGUGACUGAGUGGCGGACGGGUGAGUAACGCGUGGGUAACCUGCCUCAUACAGGGGGAUAACAGUUAGAAAUGACUGCUAAUACCGCAUAAGACCACGGAGCCGCAUGGCUCAGUGGGAAAAACUCCGGUGGUAUGAGAUGGACCCGCGUCUGAUUAGGUAGUUGGUGGGGUAACGGCCUACCAAGCCAACGAUCAGUAGCCGACCUGAGAGGGUGACCGGCCACAUUGGGACUGAGACACGGCCCAAACUCCUACGGGAGGCAGCAGUGGGGAAUAUUGCACAAUGGGGGAAACCCUGAUGCAGCGACGCCGCGUGAGCGAAGAAGUAUUUCGGUAUGUAAAGCUCUAUCAGCAGGGAAGAAAAUGACGGUACCUGACUAAGAAGCACCGGCUAAAUACGUGCCAGCAGCCGCGGUAAUACGUAUGGUGCAAGCGUUAUCCGGAUUUACUGGGUGUAAAGGGAGCGUAGACGGCUGUGUAAGUCUGAAGUGAAAGCCCGGGGCUCAACCCCGGGACUGCUUUGGAAACUAUGCAGCUAGAGUGUCGGAGAGGUAAGUGGAAUUCCCAGUGUAGCGGUGAAAUGCGUAGAUAUUGGGAGGAACACCAGUGGCGAAGGCGGCUUACUGGACGAUGACUGACGCUGA